AGUGAACGCUGGCGGUAGGCCUAACACAUGCAAGUCGAACGGCAGCACAGUAAGAGCUUGCUCUUACGGGUGGCGAGUGGCGGACGGGUGAGGAAUACAUCGGAAUCUACUUUUUCGUGGGGGAUAACGUAGGGAAACUUACGCUAAUACCGCAUACGACCUACGGGUGAAAGUAGGGGAUCUUCGGACCUUGCGCGAUUGAAUGAGCCGAUGUCGGAUUAGCUAGUUGGCGGGGUAAAGGCCCACCAAGGCGACGAUCCGUAGCUGGUCUGAGAGGAUGAUCAGCCACACUGGAACUGAGACACGGUCCAGACUCCUACGGGAGGCAGCAGUGGGGAAUAUUGGACAAUGGGCGCAAGCCUGAUCCAGCCAUACCGCGUGGGUGAAGAAGGCCUUCGGGUAGUAAAGCCCUUUUGUUGGGAAAGAAAAGCAGCAGGUUAAUACCCCGCUGUUCUGACGGUACCCAAAGAAUAAGCACCGGCUAACUUCGUG
rnacentral:rRNA from 1 species